rnacentral:rRNA from 1 species
UAGUCCACGCCGUAAACGAUGGAUACUAGUUGUUCGAUCUUCGGAUUGAGUGGCUAAGCGAAAGUGAUAAGUAUCCCACCUGGGGAGUACGUUCGCAAGAAUGAAACUCAAAGGAAUUGACGGGGGCCCGCACAAGCGGUGGAGCAUGUGGUUUAAUUCGAUGAUACGCGAGGAACCUUACCAGGGCUUAAAUGUAGUGGGACAGGUCUAGAAAUAGACCCUUCUUCGGACUCAUUACAAGGUGCUGCAUGGUUGUCGUCAGCUCGUGCCGUGAGGUGUCAGGUUAAGUCCUAUAACGAGCGCAACCCCUGUUGUUAGUUGCCAGCGAGUCAUGUCGGGAACUCUAACAAGACUGCCGGUGCAAACCGUGAGGAAGGUGGGGAUGACGUCAAAUCAUCACGGCCCUUACGUCCUGGGCUACACACGUGCUACAAUGGUAGGUACAGAGGGCAGCCACUACGCGAGUAGGAGCGAAUCCUUAAAACCUAUCUCAGUUCGGAUCGGAGUCUACAACUCG